rfam:Mustela putorius furo unplaced genomic scaffold scaffold00309, whole genome shotgun sequence.
GGAUGUGAGGGUGAUCUGGCUGUGGUAUCUGUCACUUCAUUAAUCACCAGUGUUGACUUGGCUGGUCUUGCUGGCUGGGUAGGUGUCCCCUUUCUCCCUCACUUCUCCUCCUGAAGCUGAGUGCUUGGCCCAAGAGAACAACCUUCCUCCAUACAGGAGGACCAUUUUCCUCAGUCAAGGUAUGGGAGCACCUGCACUUGCCUGGUAGACUCUCCAAACAAUCUCUCCAGGUCCAUUUGUAGGAAAACAGUAGAAAAGUCAGGUUUCCAAGAUUCCAGGCACAUCCAAAUGAGGCACUGCAUGUGGCAGUCUGUCUUUCCAA